GAGCCAGACUCCUACGGGAGGCAGCAGUGGGGAAUAUUGCACAAUGGGGGAAACCCUGAUGCAGCAACGCCGCGUGGGUGAAGGAGCGUUUCGGCGCGUAAAGCCCUGUCAGCGGGGAAGAAGAAAGACGGUACCCGACCAAGAAGCCCCGGCUAACUACGUGCCAGCAGCCGCGGUAAUACGUAGGGGGCAAGCGUUAUCCGGAUUUACUGGGUGUAAAGGGAGCGUAGGCGGUUUAGCAAGUCAGAAGUGAAAGCCCGGGGCUCAACUCCGGGACUGCUUUUGAAACUGUUGAACUAGAUUGCAGGAGAGGUAAGUGGAAUUCCUAGUGUAGCGGUGAAAUGCGUAGAUAUUAGGAGGAACACCAGUGGCGAAGGCGGCUUACUGGACUGUAAAUGACGCUGAGGCUCGAAAGCGUGGGGAGCAAACAGGAUUAGAUACCCCAGUA
rnacentral:rRNA from 1 species